CAGGCAAAUUUCUUUCCUUCUCAUCUUUGAUCGCAUCAAGACGCUGUUCAUUACGAUUUUUCUAAUGAUGUUCGUCUUUUAACACACUCAGUGUCUCUUGUUUGGUUUGUGUUUGUGCGCUAUAAGAUUAUUUUCCAGUCUUCCCUCAUACCUUGAGGCAUCAACUAUACGCUCCCGACAGAGCGAAGCGUCAAUCUAAGUUUGACCAACUUUUCAUAACCACACACCUGUGUCUCAAUUUCUCUAUGUUUUUUGUCGUUACAUGAUCUAUCUAUACGUGCGAGCGCAACGUCUACCUGCUGUCUCGACGUCUUAGUCUCCUUUGGCUCAACAGUAUUGAACCUCGCAGAAUCAUCCUCGCGAUGUUUCGCAGCAGUUAGGGUUCUGGCAACGCUCAGCAUGGGAAGUGUAAUGUGGUGGGCAAAAUGAUGUAUUGUCAGAUGAUGACAAACAGCGAAAGGAGAUGAGGACAGAAGCAAUUUACAAGACUUUUUGAACAUAUGGAGAUGCAGAUAGAAAGAUGACCAGGUCUGUAGGAGAGUAAGAAUCAAGGAUGAUGGGGGGUUUUAAGGGGGGUAGUAGAAAUUAGCUAGGUUUUGGGGAAGUUGUAGGCUGAGCAAGGUUAUUCGGAACAGAUGCCUUCGGUGGUGCAUGAAAGGUAAGGCACUGAUUCGCGUCGUAUGAAGAAUCGGAACUAAUGUGAUGUAGGGAGACGAAAAAGAAGGUUGAGUGAAGUAUCUGACGUGGGAAGUAAUGAUGAAGAUAUCACAGGAGAAAUAGUCGUUAGCGGGCAGUAUGAUAAGCAAUUAGAUUCGUAAUGGCUAGUCUAGGAUAGAUGCAUGACGUACAUAGAACCUCUCAAAUGUUAAAGUUGACUUACCUACUUGGUGAAUGGUUAAAAUUCGCCCUUCCUUUUCCCAGUCCUCUUCACAAGAUGAUCAAUAACGCACCCAUUCUCCCACCCCUCACUCUUUUCUCCAGUAAUCGCCCUACAACGCGGACAACUCUUCCC
rnacentral:lncRNA from 1 species